rnacentral:rRNA from 1 species
GAUGAACGCUGGCGGCGUGCUUAACACAUGCAAGUCGAACGGGAUCCAUCAGGCUUUGCUUGGUGGUGAGAGUGGCGAACGGGUGAGUAAUGCGUGACCGACCUGCCCCAUACACCGGAAUAGCUCCUGGAAACGGGUGGUAAUGCCGGAUGCUCCGACUCCUCGCAUGGGGUGUCGGGAAAGAUUUCAUCGGUAUGGGAUGGGGUCGCGUCCUAUCAGGUAGUCGGCGGGGUAACGGCCCACCGAGCCUACGACGGGUAGCCGGCCUGAGAGGGCGACCGGCCACAUUGGGACUGAGAUACGGCCCAGACUCCUACGGGAGGCAGCAGUGGGGAAUAUUGCACAAUGGGCGCAAGCCUGAUGCAGCGACGCCGCGUGCGCGAUGACGGCCUUCGGGUUGUAAACCGCUUUUGAUCGGGAGCAAGCCUUCGGGUGAGU